ensembl:lncRNA golgin subfamily A member 4-like
GGUGGUCAACAAACAUGUGGAGGGAAGAGAUAUCAGUGUUUUAAAGAUAAUAGUGUAAGCUUGCCUCUACACAGAGUUUAACAUCCAAGCAGACAAGCACAUCACUCAAAGGACUUGCUAAAAAGUGACUUAUCUUCAAGUAAUUUGAGCCUAGCAUGGUUUUCCUUAUGUUUUUGUACACAACUCGGGACAAAAGGGAGGUGAGCCUGUAAUCUCAUGGGAAGUUCUGAAUGUGUAAGAUGGAAACAUAUCAAUCAGGAGACCUUGAGCAAAGACAACAGAGUAGCAGGAUGACCCAAACAGAACAGCAGUGGACAAGAGAAAACAGCAAGCAAUUAGAAGACGAACAAACAAUAGUCAACAUGAAAACCAAAUGGGAGAUUAUUAAAAUACAAAGACAAUUGACAUGUCGAGUAAUGGGGGAGAUUGAACAACUUUGGGAAGAGACACAAAGAGAGAGAAAUAAUAUCGAGUACUUGAAGACAAAUACAGAGCAGCAGCAGGAGGACAUUGACAGACUGACAGCUAAAAAACAUGAGCAGUAUUUAUUAAUAAAUAGACUGAGAAUACAGAUAGAAAAUAUUAUUGAGAAACUUGAGGAGAAUAAAAAUGAAGCCGCUCAAGAAGAAAUGCAACUUCUGAAAAUGAAGACUGAAAUAUACAGAGAGAGGGAAACUCUGGAAAGAAGACGUAAUGAACUAAUCAAUGAGCGACACAAGUUGGAAAUGAUCAAGUAUGAAAAGACAAAAUCACAAGAAAGUAAGGAACCCGAAGAACCCAUGGAGCAGAUAAAGAGAGAGCAGGAGAUUACGGAGAGGCUGAUGGUUGACUGUCUGCUCAGUCUAAUUAACAAAAAUAAGAAAAUAAUGCUUGAAGCAAAGCAGGCAAAAGAACAUAUGAAGAAAAACAUGGCAGACAUAAAGCAAGAGUUUCAGAGGAAUAAAAAGGAUAUUUCCCACCAUAGAGAUCAAAUUAAACUCAUCAAACACAAUAUGAAUGAAAAUAUUAACAAGAUGAAGCAAAGAACUGUUGAAAUGCAGAAAGCUGCAGUCCCAGAGAUACAAAGCAGAGAAAGGCAGAAAGAAGAAAGAGACACUUUCGGCACUGUGAAGAUUAAACUCCGCAGAAUCCAGGAAGAGAUGGAGAAACUUUGGGAUGAGCUGGAAGACAGCGUACAACAACUGGAAGUGACUGUGAGAGAGAAGCAGGAGCUAAAGACAAAGAGUGGUCAAAUGGAAGAUAUAAAAUCUGACUCAGACACAGAUGUGAGCAUAAAGAGAACACAGUGGAAAACAGCGAUGACUGCUGAUAUGCAGAGGCAAAAACAAAACUUAGAAAAUAAGUUGUCACAGGUCCAAUCUGAAAGAGACGAGAUACAAAAAAUCAAGACUAAAAUACAGACUGAGAGAGAGAACAUAGAGAGAGACAGGCAGUUAGCUAAAGCAGAAACGAAUGCAAUGAACUGUAUGAGGGAGAGUGCUGAAAAACAAAAACAGGAGCUGGACGACAAGUUACAGAGGACAAAGAAAGAGAUAAGAGAGAAGGAAGUGUUGAACACUGAGAUUGAAAUAAAGAUAAAAGACCUGGUAAAAAUAAUACGAAUGAGCAGGAGAAAAAAGGAAGGGAUCAGCAAGAUGAUGGAAGAGGCUGAAGAUGCUAAACAAGUCAUGGGGGAAAGACAAGAUGAGACUAAGGAGAAUUGGUCAGAGCAGGUGCUGCAGGUGAACAUGGAGUACAGAUUUGAUGAGCAGAAUAUAGGACUCCAGCAGGUUGACAGAACUAGAGACAUACAACAGCUUAAAGAACAUUCCUUUGAGGAAGACAACAUGGAAAGCACCAAGAAUAAAAUGAACACUGACAUGGAGAGAGUGAUUCUUGAAGUAAAAGAAAUCAGAAAGAUGCUGCGUAGGGUGAGAAAAGAGACAGGGCAAAGCAGGAAGGACUUUACAGAAGAAAAGAGACAAAUCCAAUGGAUGAAUUUUCGAUUUGAAAAAAAUAAACGAGAGCUUGACCAACAGCUGGAAAAGAGCAUUAAAGAGAGGGAUGAGAUGGAAAUCAUGAAGGUAAAGAUACAACAACACAGGGAAGAGGUCAAACAAAAACUGGAAGUUACUAUAACUACAAUUCUGACUAUGGGUGAGAUAAAAGCUAGCAUAGAAAAAGCUGCUGCAGAGAUGAAAAAUACCAGGGAGGAGAUGCUCGAAGUCCAAAGGAAGACAAACCAGAACAAGGAAGAGGUCAAGAAGUAUGUAGAUAAGAUGACUUCCAUGAAAGUUCAGGUCAGCAAAUGGAUAUUGACUGAAUCUGCAAUCAAAAAGACCUUUUCAAGGAAUACAUCUAAACUUCAAAUAGCACAGAAAGAAACAGCCAGAGACUCUCUCAAGGAUCAAGCAUUUGAAAUUCUAACAGACAAAGAAGGUGUAGAAGAUGAAAUUACAAAAGAAACCAUGACUAUACCAUUAGAAGACCAGCCUCAAAGUGAAGAUACAAAUGAGCAUUCAGAGCACAAACAGAGACAAGGACUCAAUUUUUUUGCAGUGGACAUGAAAGAGGAGCAGAAUGUUUUCUUACAGAUGCAGACCAAAAUCUAUGAAGAAACAUUAAUGGAUGAUGAUCAGACCAAAUUAGUGAUACAUGUAAGAGAAAUGGAAGUAGAAAAGCAGAUGUUCAAACUCAAGAAGAGAGAGGAUAAAUUAAGGGAACAAAUAAGGUACGCUAUGGAGAACAUGGAGGAAGACAAUAAAGAGAUUAAAAGGAUCAUUAUGGACAUAAAUGACCUGCAGAGCCAGAAACCAGAGGCUGAAAAUUGCUUACCAAUUACAGUCAGGGAAAGCACAAAUGUUUUCAAAGAUGAAAUCGUUGAAUAUGAAGUGAACAUGCAAAAACAGGAGGAUGACAAUAAGGUGAAACAAGAAGUUAUUGAUGUUGUUGAGAAGCAAAAACAAAGUCAGGAUUCAAGAGAAAAUAUACAGAUACAUACUGAGGAGAUUGAUGGAGGUUAUGAUAAAAAGGACACAGGAAGUGCUGAUAUACAAAGACUUAGGGCUGAGAUUUAUAGAACACAAAAUAUUAUAAGACAAGUAAAACUAGAACUUGAAAACCAAGAUGAAGAAAGCAAUAUCGACAAAGAUCAUAGGGAUAACGACAGUGAAAUUGAAGGAUUACUACAAGACAUGAAACAAUUCCAAGAGCUUUUAAAACUGCUAAAAACUGCAAUGAGGCAAAAUAAAAUGCAUCUGAAAGAAAAAAUGAGCAACAUGAAAUUGAGGAAAACUGCAGCCAAAAAACUGAAGAGAAAACUGGAUCAGAGGUUAGAGAAAACUUUGAGAGACAGAGAUGAAUUUGAUCAUUUAAAAAUAAAAAUGCAGAAACAAACUGAAGAGACAGAGGAGAAGUUGGAGAAAAUGACAAAAGUUAAGAGGACUGUCGAGGAAAUUGCUGCAAGGACUAGACAGAAAAGUGAAGACACAGAGAUUAUUAUGAAGCAGACCCAAGUAAAACUGAGACAGUUGGAAGACUUGAACUAUAGGAUUGAGGCUACAAAACAAGAACUGGAAAACAGCCUUGCUUUUACAUUCCAGGAAAGAACUGACCUUGAAAAAGUCCACACUGAAAUCAGACAGAAAAAGGACAGAGAAUGUGCCUUGGAAAGUACUGAGAGAGAGAAGGGAGACAUAAAGCAAUGUGAAAGAGAUGAAACAGAUACAGAAAGGGACAAAAUGAUUAAGAACAGAAUGGGUAAAGACAUUGAGGAAAUGGAAAAUGAAAUCUUCAGACUCAGAUCAAAAAAAGAGAAACUGGAGAAGGAUAUAAAACUGACAAUGGUCAGUUUGGAUCUGAAAAAUAGUGAAAUUGAACAACUGAAAAAGUCUAUAAGUGAGGAAGUUAAACAAAAGACUGAGAGAGAAGAGAUUGAGAUGCUGAAACAACAGAUUCAAGUUGAGCGGGAGAAUGUGAGAAAAGAAAGACAACAAGAAAUACAUGAGAUGAACCGUUUAAGGGAGAAUAUCGAAAGACAGAAACAGGAGCUUGAUGACAGAGUGCAAACAACCAAAACAGAAAUAAGAGAAAUGGAGAUACUGAAGUCAGAGCUGGAAAUAAAGAAAAAAGAAAGUAAACAGAUAUAUAGAACAAGCAUGCGAAAAAUGGUGGAGAGUGAAAUGAGGUGGAAUGACAUACAAAGAGAAAGGGAAGUACUGAGGAGAGAGACCAAAAAGAGAAGAAGAGAAUUAGACCAAAGACUGGAAGAAACCAUGAGAGAGAGGGAUGAGUCAGAAAUGUUGAAGAUAAAACUGCAACGGCAGAAAGAGGAGCUGGCUGAGGAGAAACAGAGAUUCAAAGACCAGAUAACUCUGAUCCAAGUAUACAGAGAACAUGAAAAACAAAGUCUGGAAAAGCCAGAGGUGAAAAACUUCAGGGAGAAAAUUCAAAUGAUCCACCAAAGCUCAAAGGACACUGAUUCCAUUAUUGGCCUUCAAAACAUGAAACAAAAUAUUCAUGUACAUUUGAAAAUAAUUAGGAGAGAAAUGGGAAUUCUGGAAAAUGUAAAUGUUGAUUUAGGGGAACAAAGAGAAGGGCUCAAAGCAAUACAAGCUGAGAACAGGACUGUAGCUGAGCCAAACAGUGAGCACAACAUGAGCCAAAUCAAAGAUCUGAUAAAGAUGAACUUUGUCAAAAUGACAAUACAGGCAGAAGCAGAUUUGGUUGAAAUGGUGCACAUGACGGACGGUAUCCAAAAACAAAAACAGUGGCUUGAAAUCACACUAGAAGAAGUUAAAAGACAAAGAAGAGAGAUUGAAGUGUUGAAGUCUGAAAUGGAGGGGAAAAAAAAUGAAAAUCAACGGAUGAUCCGAAAAGGCAUUCAAAAAGAGCAGGAAGUUAAAAAGAUGUGGGCUGAGGUCAAAGAAGAAGAAGAUGCCCACAAGAGGGAGAGAAAGAAGAGAAAGAAAGAGCUCGACCAGCGACUGGAGAGGAUCAGCAGAGAGAGAGACGAACUGGAGAUCAUGAAACUAAAGAUGCAAAGAGAAAAGGACGGGAUCAAAGGUGGAAUAGAAGUGUCCAGGAUGGCAACAGUCACACAAGUUCCAAAUCCAAUUCAAAAGCACUGGGGGCUAAUUCAGACAUGUAUGGAGAAAUAUAAAGUCAUGGAAAAACUGAAUGAAGAUUGGAAUGGAGCAAUUAAAGAUGAAAAACGACACAUGGAGGCCCAGGCAAAGAUCACAACCCAGGAAAGAGAGAAAGUGGAAAAUAUCAAGAUGGAGAUUCAAAGACAAAAAGAAAUAUUAUGUGCUUUAAAGAACAAGCAACAAAAGCAAACACAUUUGGAGCAAGAGGAGAUUAAUAUAGUUAAAGAGAGAGAGAAAGAGAUUCUCAAAGCUGAGACAAUGAUCCUCAAAGAUGGACGACAGAAAGAAAAGAAAGAACACAGGGUAAUAAAGAGGCCAUUUAAUGUGAGUGAGAAAAUACAGAAUGAGUUAGAUGAAUUAAAAGAAUUAACAAAGGAAGACCAAAGUGGAAAAGGGCGAAAUGAAGAAGAGGUGAAAUUAAAAAGUGAAAAGAAAGAAAAAACAUCUUCAAAUGAUUGUACAGACACUCUUGUGUUAAAACAGAAUGAACCACCUAGAAAUUACAAUAAGGAGAAACUAGAACCUUUAAAAACAAAAAUUAUGAAUGAAAAACCUGAAAUUGCAACAAGAAAAGAGAAAUUCCAAAGUAAAAGGAAACUGAAAGUUGGGUUUCAAGAAUUAGGCGAUGUAAAUCUAAACCAGAAGAGAGACAAGGGCCUGAAAGAUGUGGCUGGAACUAAAACAUUGAUAAACCAACAUGAAUUAAAAUCUGACAAAACAGAAGAUGAUAUGCAUAAGGAAAUUCACGACGUAAAAGAAAGUGAACAUGGAGAAGAGGAAAAACACAUGCUUAAAAAUAAAUUGAUUGAGCAGGCAAAAAGAGAAGAAAUGGAAUCGGAAAAGGAGGAAGUAAAAAGUGCAAAGAAAACUGAGCUCUUAGACACAGAAGGGCUGAUAAAAAAGAGAGAGGAUCUGGAUAGAGAGAGUGAGAAGAUGAACAAAGAGAAACUGCACUUGGAGCUGAUGACGUCUGACAUCCGGAAACAAAAUGACGUAUUACAACAAGCGAUACAAGAUAUACGAGAGGAAAGAGACGCAUUGGAAACAACAAAGUCUGAGCUACAAAAGAAGAAAGAACAUGCAGACAGUCAGUUUGAUGAGAUAAACAGAGAGAAAAGCAACAUUAAAGAUCUGACCCUUCAGCUUCAGGCACAAAGACUCAAACUGGAGAAUGCCAUGAACAUGAUCACCCGAAAACAAGAAGUACAAGAACUCAAGGAAGACGAGUUCAAAAGACAAACA